CAAUUCAGAAAUUUCAGUACAUGUGAAGAUGUGCGCGAGCUAAAAAGACAAGACGUAGAACGCGAAAAAAAAUUAUUGUUUGAUUUGAGCUCUUAUUAUUGAAUUAAAAUUUCAUCAAGGUAUAAUAAAACUCUUCAAUUAUUUACAUUCCGUUGAAAUGACUGCCAGUGUCCUUUCAUCGGAAUUUUGUGAUAAUGUGGUCAAUGUUUGCCAACAUCAAACUUUUCAACCAUGAAAUGCUAUCAAUCUGAUGUGAACCAACAGUAGUUUAGCUAAAGCCAACGACGACAAUAGAAAACAAAAAGAAACAACAACUACAAGAGAAGAAGAACUAACAGCCAUCGAAUAACAAACUGACAACGAUUCCAAUCCACAGAAAGGUGCAAACACAAUAGAAA